rnacentral:rRNA from 1 species
UACGUAGGGGGCAAGCGUUGUCCGGAUUUAUUGGGCGUAAAGAGCGUGUAGGCGGCCAAGCAGGUCCGCUGUGAAAACUCGAGGCUUAACCUCGAGAUGUCAUCGGAAACCAUCUGGCUAGAGUCCGGAAGAGGAGAGUGGAAUUCCUGGUGUAGCGGUGAAAUGCGCAGAUAUCAGGAAGAACACCAAUGGCGAAAGCAGCUCUCUGGGACGGUACUGACGCUGAGACGCGAAAGCGUGGGGAGCGAACAGG